rfam:Ixodes scapularis strain Wikel colony gcontig_1108379433572, whole genome shotgun sequence.
CAAACGGCCCUUCUCAGGGCCACCCAUUUCCGGCUGUCGAGGACUG